GGCUUUGGGGCGUGCGCGUGGUAGAACUAGUUUCUAUAGCAACAAUCAUGGUUGAAAAUGGCGGAGAAACUCUGGCAGGAGAGAACAAAGAUGUCCUUAGGAUGAUAGGCCAGUCUACCCGGGAGGGGAUAGUAUGACGAGUAGUUUAGAGUGUGAUCUCAUGAUAGAGUCGCUCCAAAGAGAGUUGGACAUAGUCCGGUUGGAGCAUGAAGCCAUAGUCCUGCAACAAAUUCUAUAAAUACUGGAGCAGGAGGAGGAGGAGAAGGAGAGGAAAGACUUAUUGGCCAUAAUGCCACUGAUGAUGUCAAAGUGGCCCUGAUCAACCGUGGAGCAGGGAUAGUAAGAGCAUGCAAAGGGAUAUAUCAUAAUGCUUUGC
rnacentral:lncRNA from 1 species